AUUGAACGCUGGCGGCAGGCCUAACACAUGCAAGUCGAUCGGAUGAGUGGAGCUUGCUCCAUGAUUCAGCGGCGGACGGGUGAGUAAUGCCUAGGAAUCUGCCUGGUAGUGGGGGACAACGUUUCGAAAGGAACGCUAAUACCGCAUACGUCCUACGGGAGAAAGUGGGGGAUCUUCGGACCUCACGCUAUCAGAUGAGCCUAGGUCGGAUUAGCUAGUUGGUGAGGUAAAGGCUCACCAAGGCGACGAUCCGUAACUGGUCUGAGAGGAUGAUCACUCACACUGGACCUGAGACACGGUCCAGACUCCUACCGGAGGCAGCAGUGGGGAAUAUUGGACAAUGGGCGAAAGCCUGAUCCAGCCAUGCCGCGUGUGUGAAGAAGGUCUUCGGAUUGUAAAGCACUUUAAGUUGGGAGGAAGGGCAGUAAGUUAAUACCUUGCUGUUUUGACGUUACCAACAGAAUAAGCACCGGCUAACUUCGUGCCAGCAGCCGCGGUAACAC
rnacentral:rRNA from 1 species